AUAUCUGCUAGAUGUAAAUAGAUCUGUAAGUUAACGAUAUUAUCGUGUUGUAGUUCAUUUUUAAUUCUUAUUGAUUUCAAUAAAGUUUUAUAGAUAUAAUAUGGUAUAAAUAUUUAUUACUCCUUACAAUUCGCGGAUCUACUAACGGACAUAUAACUAUCGCUACUGCUCGGAACUCUCUCUCUCUCUUUCUCACACCACACAAAAACUGGACGCGUUGGAGAAAAAAAUGGUAAGUUACCCUAAAUAUAUUUGAAUUACAUCAACAAUCUCAAAUAUGUUAUUUUUAAAUUUUCAUUCACUUUUUACAGAACAAAAUGUUACGCCGCCUUCGCGGUAACAUGUAUAAAAAUAACUGGUGGAGAGGCGAAAGGGGAGCAGGAAGGGGAAGAGGAAGAGGAGGAAGAAGAGGAGGAGGAUGAGCGAGGGGGGGGGGACGUGUAUGCUUUUCAAAGGAGUUAGAUAAAAAAAAAAUUUUUUUUAAAAUAUUGACUUUAUUUUUAGUUGUAUUGUCCUCCUCCUGUUGUAGUCAUAAAUUACUUUCAGGUAUAGGAAAGAAGAAAAAUUAUUGUAAAUAUCGACUAGACUCUGCCGAAUAAGCGAGACUUGAAAUAUUACAUUUGUGACAUUUUUCUGAUUACAAUGAUAUUUACAAUAAUUUUUCUUCUAGCCGUUAGACCCUUACUUUCAGGUAUCGCGUCAUCACGCAGCCUAUUCGUAGGCACAUGGACAUGCCACCGGGUGUUGCAUGUGUGCGCGUGUCUCGGCACGGCUGCUCGCUAGCUUUCAUGGUCGGCAUCAUGCUGCCGAAUAUUGUUAAUUAUGACAGAAAAGAGCAAAAGUAGAGUCCCUAUGGGAGCUUGCGCUCUAGUUUGAACAUUUAUUUAGCGGAAACGACUUUUGAGAGGUCUCGAAUCUGCAUUGUCGAGACAUAAAUAGGACAAUACGGAACCCUUGCAGUCUCGUAGGCACACGGACAUGCCACCGAGCGUUGCAUGUGUGAGUGUGUCUCGGCACGGCUGCUCGCUCCAACGAUACAUUGUCGCUGACGUCUCGCUUGCUUAUAAAGCCUACCUUACCUUACCAGCAUCAUAUUUUGAACAGCAGAAAUUGCAUUCAGCUCCUCUACUGGCUAAAUGUUUUACUUAAUUUACUUCUUCUAGUGGCCGCUCGGUUUUUAUGUCGCGUCGAUCUUUUCGGCGAAGGAGUCCACUCCCUUAAACAACAAACACAAACUUGAAUUUAAAAAUUACAACAUAAUCAGAAACGACAGAAUACACUCCAUACAAGCAGGAGGCACGACCAUACUAAUAAGAAUAGAACUCAAAUAUGAAAUAGUAACAGCUAGUCCAAUAAUAAACCAAAAAAUAAUAGAACUAACAACAGUAAAAAUACCCCUUGACGCAACUAACAAAUUCCUCAUAAUAUCAACCUACAGUGCACACGGGCAGGCCAUGACAUUCUCUUCACAACUACACAACAUCUUCAAAUCUUUAGAACUCCACAAAGCAACCACCUAUUACAUACUAACAGGAGACUUAAAUGUUAAGCACAAGAACUGGAAAAACAGCGUCAACAACGCAAAAGGAGUAGCACUAAAUGAUUGGCUACAAAUCCACAAAAACAGAUACAGAAUAAAUUUAAUUCACCCAGAAAAACCAUCCUUUCCCAGAAGCAACGCAUUCUUCUAGACAACAGACUGACAAAUAAUUCCUGCUCAAACCCAUCCGAAUCAAAAGUUAUCCCCUAUGACAGCGAUCACCUAGCCAUCAAAUUAAUUAUCAUAUCCCCAUCACAAUUAGGCACCUUCAAACUCCAAUCCUCCACAGAUUCAAACGCUUUCCUCUUUAGAAAAAUAAACUGGAACCGUUUCCAACAUCACCUAAAAAAGAAUACACACCACUUAAACCCCAUCAACCCAAAAUCUAACCAACACACAGAUAGAAAACCACAUUGAAACAAUAAACAAACAUAUCCUACAAUCAAUGCACAAAUCCAUACCUAAAUAUAAAAAAUACAAUAGUGUAGAAAAUUACAUAAACAGAACAAUAGAAAAUCCGCAAAAACAAAAAAGCAGAUAUAUAUCCAGCCUCUUCAAAUUAUAUAGAAACCCCAACAGCCAAACACACCUACUCAUUCCUCAUAUAAAAAAACCCAUAAAAAAUCUCAACUAUAACCUAAAAAGAGAAUAUAAAAAAUCAGCAUCCACCUACUGGAACAACAAAAUUUCAAACCUUUCGCCUCACAACCUAGAAGACAUGCAUAACACUAUUAACAAAAUUUUCAAACCCCAAAGCCAAACAGAAAUAAAAUCACUAAAAACACACAAAGAUGAUCCGCUACUAAGAGAAUCCAACAUCGCUCAACACAAUACAACAUCACUGUCAAACAACUUCAUCCACAUAAGCAGCACCCCAGAAAAACUCUCAAUCUUGGGUACUCACUUCCAAAAAAUACAUACAUCCAAUAUCACAAUUCCAAACUCAGCCAAUAGUACUCUAGAACAAAGCAUAGAAAACAAGAUAAACCAAUUCAAUAUCAACACACCACAAAAUCACCUUGUUCAAUUCAGUGAAACAAACCCCACAACACAACCAUCCGAAAACUUCAACUAUUACCUCAUCAACUUCAUAGUGUUGCGUAUCGCUACUUUUGAUAGAGAUAAAUUAAUUCCCAUGUCACUCCUAGAUGGCAGCGGAGACCCGUUUGCUCGUUGUUAUGGAAUGUGAAUGAGCCUUUGCGUUUGGCAAUUCUGUUUGAAGUUAGUUCAGCGCCAACUACGGUUUUCUUGAAUUUACGGUAUUUCGUUUUUUUUUUUUGAUUGCAUUUUAUUUAAAACAAUUUUUUAAUGCUCACUCGCAUAGCGACCGUUAACUAGUAUAGACGUCUAUUGUAAAAGCUUGUAUUUAAAGUAAAGGAAUUCAACUUUUGUGUUAAAUUAGUUAUAUUUAAACAGUUAAAAUAAAGUUCAUAUUACAUUUCUUAAUUUAUCUUAAAUUAACUUAUUCCUGGCUAAGUCGCACGCAGUUCUAAUAAUUUUGUCACGUGCGGGGUGAACGCCAGAAAAACCCUAAGUCCUUAAAAAUAAAACCGCACGGAUUCGCAACAAAAUUGGUGACAGCGGUGGGAUCUUUCCAACAUUAAAUAAUUUUAUUAACUCGGGGCAUUAGAAUCAGUGCAUCUUAUCCCUCUUGGGUUUUCCGCACAGUUUCCCCAGGAGCAAGGGCGAAUGCCGGAGAAGGUAAUCUCGACGACCGUGCAAGUUAAUAAUCGUUGAUCAUAUGCACCUUCCCUACGGGUCUUCCUGGUGAACCAGAUCGAGGGACGAUCAUCGCUGGACGAGGACUCAGGAAAAGGAUAGCUGGACGAGGAUUCAGGAGAAGGAUAGCUGGACGAGAAUUCAGGAGAAGGAUCGGGCAAUAGCGUUGGGCUAACGACGGCAACACCGAGCGAUGCGGAUUAGAGGCUACCGAUCCCGUCCAACCCGGCGCCGGCUGCACGGACUGGCCAGACGAAGCUCAAAUGGACAGGGGCUGGAGGUUCUUGGUAAUAACCCCUGGACUCCGCUACGACCUUCAGGGGGCAGGAGGCCGUUUAGGAUAGCGAAGUCAGCCGGGUUCUCGAGUGCACCGAGACCCCGCCCGCUCCAGAGUCUUCGAGGGAUGCCAGCACCGACACGCCACCAAAGUCGCCGAGGGACGAGACUGGACAGCCGCCGAUGACGAGCGCGCCGAUAACGCGAUUUGAAUUUGGCCGCCAUAAGGUGACGUGUGCCGCCGAGCAUUGAGGUGAGGCUUGGGGGAAGCGCGUAAGUCAACGCUUGCGACGAGCUCGCGUAGCUCGUCCUAUUUCGUCAGUGACACACGUGGUGGACGGUACGGUAAGCGCUUCCUCCUUUACCUCACGCUCAUGGAUAGGAUAUCGUGAAUUGGUCGGGUUACCUGGUGGCUGCCGAGCCCCCUGUCGGGCGAAGUAGCGUUGUUAGCGGGAAACCGCCUUUGCGUAGGAGCGAAUUAACGAACAUCUAGUCGCGAGUCCAUUGUAACGCCCACGUGUUUGAAUCGCUGCCGGUUAACGUUCUCGUCGAAGAAGUCGAGCCCACCGCGACCGCGUCAAGACUGUCCGAACAUCGUUUCCAAAGUCGCUUUUGUGCGAAUCGUGACGGGCACGUGUUUUCGAAACGUAGUUCUCGUGUGGGUUACCGGUCGUCCCGGUGACCUUUGACGCUACGACAGCUCGGCAGCGUACACCGAAUUUUGUAACAUCUUUCGCGUACAAUAUAUUCUAUAUUAUCUUAAACGAGUGCUGUGUUAAUCCGCCCCGUCUUGCCGUGAAGACGGCUUUCUCAGACUUCCUUUCCUCGCCGACGGUCCACGCCCCUCUCCGCGAUCCGGAUCGCUAGCCGUGGUAAUUUUCGAGACGUUCGGCUUCUCACGCCGGUAUCUCCUGAUACCUGGCGCUCGGGUUUUCCCGUAUAGGCGUGAGGAGUCGGAAAACUCUCAUUUUGCACGUUUCCCGACGCGGAUCGCGGACCUUGUCGGGAAAUCACGUUGCAGUAUAUAUAAAUGUAUAUUGAGUAUAUGUUUAUAUACUCAAAGGAACUACUCUUCGACCAUUGGUCAAAGCUGCAGUCAGCCUGUCAUCGAGAUGGAAUUUUUGCUAUAGUUCUCGAAUUCGACGUAUGUGCAUUAGCGUCAAGUCUCAAUUUUGGUAUGGAGAUGUUGGUUACGCUCUGCUCAGUGUAUAAAGAGUAGGCUUGAGCAGUCCAUGUAUAUAUGGUCGAAGAUGGUUACGGACUACACUAUAGCUUGAGCAGUCCAUGUAUGUAUGGUCGAAGACGAUACCUGCGAACCAAGUCGAAAAACGUAUUUAGAUGGUCGACACGGUAACAGAAAGGUAGACGACGACAGCGCUGCGGUAGAAAGCACGAUAUUGAGGCAGCCAUGUUGGCAUAUGAAUCGUCUCAAUCGUAGCGACAACACCAUUGUAAUUUCAUGAGGCGAAAAAGCAACCUUUUUAGCUGAUUUUUUUUUAAUCUGUUCCUUGUACAGUGUUGCUGCGGAAGAUAGUUAAAGAUUUUUGGAAAAAGACCCACAAAAAAUGUCUUGUCUUUAAACGUAUUUUUAGCACGUUUCAAAAGCGAAUUGCAGAAUCUGUAACUAUCCCCCGCAGCGGAAUUUUAUAAGGAACAGUUUGAAUCGUGAGAAAAUAUUGCUUCUUCACUUCAAAAAACUUGAUGAGCUUCGUUGCUGUGAAAUCUUGAUAAUUUGUAUGGCAAUAUGGUUGCUCCGCUAUCACGCUGUCCACUGCAGCGCUGCUGUCGUCUCUGCUGCGGUUGUUACGCUAGUAGUCUAAGACGCUUUUCAUCAUGGUUCAGUAUCGUAGUAAGUUUAAAAAAUGCCCGCAGUCAUACAUUUUUCUUUUAAGUAAGUGUGUAUAUGUAUAUAGAAAUUGGUAAAAAAAAUUAUGUACGUGUAAACUAA